AAAGUCAAAAACACAAAUUCGUCGACCGAGCAUUUUACAUCAGGAAUGUUUGGCGGAAGAGUAAAUUCGCCUUUUGAUUCGAUAAAAUCCACACCCGACUUAUUAUAGUAUACGAGAUUAAAUUAUCAAAUGAACGCCCGUAGUCGUUGUAUUUUUUUCAAACCGACGGGAGACAGGCUCGAGUGUAUCCGAAUUGGUUUCCGUUUAAAUUUGUGAUGUAUCCACUACUGGUCCAAUUAGUUCCUAUAAUGUUCGCAGUAAGAUAGUCGAACACGCACAUUUCCAUUCCCGUUCUUACGGGCUUAGGACUGCC